AUGGAAUACUGAAGAAUGCAUUUGCCAAGUGUAGGACAGUGGUUUCUAUCUCCCUUCUCAGUUUGUCUACGAGGGAGGCAAUAGUGGGUAUGGCCACAUGAAAAGGUAUGCCCAGAUCUAUCAACAAUCCACGGAGCUCUUUAUCUCAUAAUUCUCUACAAGAUGUUAUGAUGAAGAAUACCAACAACAGAAGUCAUAAACCCAUACUUAUUAGCACAGGCUAAAACUGUGCCAUAGACGGUAUUUAAAACCUCUCAAUAAAUGAACUCUGCUUUAGGAUCAAAUAAUUCAUUAGCAUAGUAAUAGAUCCAAAAAAUAAAAUUUGUAACAUAGCCCUUAUACAGUGUAUUUUUUUUUUAAUAGAAUUUCUCUGCAAAUGCAUUGAAUGCUUCAGCUCAGAUUUCAUCUUUUGCUUGAUGAGAUCCCUUCUCUAUUGUUUUCUUUGGAAUCUGUGGGAAGAAAGAGGAACCAAAAUACAUGGGCGUUGUUACAGUUCUUCUCUACCAAAUAUUUAAUGUUAUGAAGUUCUUUUUGUACAGUGCUCAAACCUCAUCAUCAGUACAAUAAUGUUCUUUUCUUCCUUCAUUUUUACUGUUGUUUCAGAGACUCAAGAGAUGAAGAAAAUGUGUUCUAUUAUCUGUUUUGUUUUGCUUUCUCUUUCUUUUCAUGAAAUUAUCUUUUGAAAAUCUGAAAUCGCCAUGGAAUGAGGUAAUAAUCUACCUUUAUAGGAAGCUUUCAGAAAUUGACUUUUGCCUUUUUCUUCCAUUUUUUUUUUGACAUGAAGUAUUUAUUAACAGUACUCAAGAAGAAUUAUCAGUUAUAAAAUUAUGUGAUACAAGUACAUAUGAUACACAUGUACAUAAAAUUAUUUUACUCUGUCAUUAACUGCUUUCUAUUCCUUUGUGCUCGCACUCUCCCUUUAAGUGCAAAAUGUUUUGCUGUCCACACUUUUAUAAAUUCUCUACUUUCAAUGUGUGUUGUGGGAAUGUAAGAACUUUUUCCUGUAAAGCAUAUUUUCUAUUUUCCAUGACCAUAGUACUGUGCUGUUAUAUCUUUCUAUCACUGUUGAUUGAUGUUCAUGUUGAUGAGAUGUCCAUUGCCUUUGCUUGGCUGUGCACCUACAUGUUAUGAAAAUACACUGUUCUUUUUUUG
ensembl:lncRNA